rnacentral:rRNA from 1 species
UAACACGUAGGGAACCUGCCCGCGCACCGGGAAUACGCUCUGGAAACGGAGAACAAAUCCCGAUGUACAGGAAGGAGGCAUCUUCUUUCUGUGAAACAUCCUGUAAGGGAUGGGGCGCGGAUGGACCUGCGGUGCAUUAGUUGGUUGGCGAGGGUAAAGGCCCACCAAGACGAUGAUGCAUAGCCGGCCUGAGAGGGCGGACGGCCACAUUGGGACUGAGACACGGCCCAGACUCCUGCGGGAGGCAGCAGUAGGGAAUUUUCGUCAAUGGGCGCAAGCCUGAACGAGCGAUGCCGCGUGAGUGAAGAAGGCCUUCGGGUCGUAAAGCUCUGUUGCGGGGGAAAAAGGCAACUACAGGAAAUGGUAGAUGACAGAUGGUGCCCCGCCAGAAAGUCACGGCUAACUACGUGCCAGCAGCCGCGGUAAUACGUAGGUGGCGAGCGUUAUCCGGAAUGAUUGGGCGUAAAGGGUGCGCAGGCGGUCCUGCAAGUCUGGAGUGAAACGUAUGAGCUCAACUCAUGCAUGGCUCUGGAAACUGGAGGACUGGAGAGCAGGAGAGGGCGGUGGAACUCCAUGUGUAGCGGUAAAAUGCGUAGAUAUAUGGAAGAACACCAGUGGCGAAGGCGGCCGCCUGGCCUGUUGCUGACGCUGAGGCACGAAAGCGUGGGGAGCAAAUAGGAUUAGAUACCCUAGUAGU